rnacentral:rRNA from 1 species
GUGGUAGGAGAGCGUUCUGUAAGCCUGUGAAGGUGUCUUGUAAAGGAUGCUGGAGGUAUCAGAAGUGCGAAUGCUGACAUGAGUAGCGAUAAAGGGGGUGAAAGGCCCCCUCGCCGUAAGCCCAAGGUUUCCUACGCAACGUUCAUCGGCGUAGGGUGAGUCGGCCCCUAAGGCGAGGCAGAGAUGCGUAGCUGAUGGGAAGCAGGUUAAUAUUCCUGCACCGUCGUAUGAUGCGAUGGGGGGACGGAUCGCGGAAGGUUGUCCGGGUGUUGGAAGUCCCGGUCCCUGCAUUGGAGAAGGCGCUUAGGCAAAUCCGGGCGCGGAAUUCAAGGAUGUGGGGCGAGCGGCCUAGUGCUGCGAAGCAAUUGGAAGUGGUUCCAAGAAAAGCCUCUAAGCUUCAGUCAUACGAGACCGUACCGCAAACCGACACAGGUGGGCGAGAUGAGUAUUCUAAGGCGCUUGAGAGAACUCGGGAGAAGGAACUCGGCAAAUUGGUACCGUAACUUCGGGAUAAGGUACGCCCUGGUAGCUUGACUGGCCUGCGCCAGAAGGGUGAAGGGGUUGCAAUGAAAUGGUGGCUGCGACUGUUUAAUAAAAACACAGCACUCUGCAAACACGAAAGUGGACGUAUAGGGUGUGACGCCUGCCCGGUGCCGGAAGAUUAAAUGAUGGGGUGCAAGCUCUUGAUUGAAGUCCCGGUAAACGGCGGCCGUAACUAUAACGGUCCUAAGGUAGCGAAAUUCCUUGUCGGGUAAGUUCCGACCUGCACGAAUGGCGUAACGAUGGCCACACUGUCUCCUCCCGAGACUCAGCGAAGUUGAAGUGUUUGUGAUGAUGCAAUCUCCCCGCGGCUAGACGGAAAGACCCCAUGAACCUUUACUGUAGCUUUGCAUUGGACUUUGAACCGAUCUGUGUAGGAUAGGUGGGAGGCUUUGAAGCGUGGACGCUAGUUCACGUGGAGCCGUCCUUGAAAUACCACCCUGGUUUGUUUGAGGUUCUAACCUUGGCCCGUGAAUCCGGGUCGGGGACAGUGCAUGGUAGGCAGUUUGACUGGGGCGGUCUCCUCCCAAAGUGUAACGGAGGAGUUCGAAGGUACGCUUGGUACGGUCGGACAUCGUACCUAAAGUGCAAUGGCAAAAGCGUGCUUAACUGCGAGACCGACAAGUCGAGCAGGUGCGAAAGCAGGACAUAGUGAUCCGGUGGUUCUGAAUGGAAGGGCCAUCGCUCAACGGAUAAAAGGUACUCUGGGGAUAACAGGCUGAUACCGCCCAAGAGUUCAUAUCGACGGCGGUGUUUGGCACCUCGAUGUCGGCUCAUCUCAUCCUGGGGCUGUAGCCGGUCCCAAGGGUAUGGCUGUUCGCCAUUUAAAGAGGUACGUGAGCUGGGUUUAAAACGUCGUGAGACAGUUUGGUCCCUAUCUGCCGUGGGCGUUGGAAUCUUGACGGGGGCUGCUCCUAGUACGAGAGGACCGGAGUGGACGUACCGCUGGUGUACCUGUUGUCUCGCCAGAGGCAUCGCAGGGUAGCUAUGUACGGAAGAGAUAACCGCUGAAAGCAUCUAAGCGGGAAACUCGCCUGAAGAUGAGGAUUCCCUGGAGGCUUGACCUCCUUGAAGGGUCGUUCGAGACCAGGACGUUGAUAGGCUGGGUGUGGAAGCGCAGUAAUGCGUUAAGCUAACCAGUACUAAUUGCCCGUAAGGCUUGAUCC